CUCACACGUGGGCCCCUCACUCAGAAGCACCAACCGUGCGCCUCUGCCCGCCAGGCCUGGUGGAAGCCGGUCCUCACCUUUGCUCCAGAGCAGACAAAGAAUAAGAAAUUACAUGAUGAUCAACCAUUGUGUCUUACAGAUGAGGUGACUGAGGAACAGAGAGUUUGAAUGAUUUUCUCUAGGACCCACAACUGAUGAGCCCUGAGCUGGAAGCUGAACCCUGGGCUGUCUGGCACGUUGUCCCUCUGCGAGAGGGUAACAACACUUCAUGGAGCAGCCAGUGUCCCAGCAGGUCCCCUGACCCUUCCUGCUCCAGUUAGACUGCCAACCCCAGCUGCCGGCCCCUGCAGGGGGGCUGAGGCUUCUGUGGCCACCAGAGCCACCUUCUCCCGCAUUCAAGCAGGGGCCUCCCAACGCAGGAUCCCACACAGCUGCUUAGGAAUGGCGUCUACGCCGAAGAACAGCUGGCCAUUUGCCCAGCACCACUGUAAGCUGCUUUGGUGCGUUCAUUCCACCCUCACAGGCAGCCUACGAAUGGGAAAACUGAGGCAUGGGGUGGGGGAUCUUCCUCACCUGCCCUCACUCACUCAGCUAUGGGUGGCAGAGCUGGAAGCUCCAUAAACCUUCCUGGCCCCCACAGGAGCCAGAACCCACGGCAUGACCUUUCCUUACAUCUCAUGCUCUCGCAGACACAUUUUGGCAGAGCCCUAGUGUCGGGGAUGACAGCAAGGAAGGCGGCCCUGCCUCCCCCCAGGAGGUGAGGAACAGAAGGAUGGGAGGGACAAGGGAAACCCACACGAGGCCCUCGCCACCCUCAAGAAGCUCCCUGGUUGCUGCACCCUCACUUCCAAUGGAGACAGGUCUUUUUCACACAGUAACACCCCAUCCUCUCACCCUGAUCGGUGAUUGGUAUUCCCAAGGGAAGGCCUGCGUUCUGAAGAAGGUGAGUGUCCAUGACUGGGCUCCCGCGGUGGAUUGAGGGAAAGGUUGACCUGUCUGGGCCUCAGAUGACCAGGGCAGAAUGGAGCUGGGCUUCCAGGCCGGGAGGCAGAGGCUACGUUUCCACAAAGGUAGGCGGGAUGCCUGGCAAAGCAGAAGAUGUUUCAUCCCCACCCAGUGGUUUUCAAACACGGCUGCCAGCUCCUUGACACUCCUGUCAUGGAGGGGUGGGGACCCUGCCCACGAUCCUUGGUCUGGGUGGCCUGUGACUGCUUUGACUGAUGCAUCAUGCAUUGAGGCCAUUUUACCAACAGCCGCCUGCCCUGGACUGCCCUGGGGCCGCCGUGUUGUGAGGAAGGCCCAGCUAUACGAAGAGGCAGAGCGUGGCCCCAGCUGUCCCCUGCCUCCCAGCACUCCCAGCCCAGCCCCUGGACGUGUGGAUGAAAAGGUCUCUGGAUGAUUCCACCCCUCAGGGCACUGAAGUCAUCCUCCACUGUGUGAGCCUUCCCAGCUGAACCCCCAGACUUCGCACAACAGGGGAAAAGCCAACACUGCUGUGUCCUGUCUAAAUUCUGACCCAUGACAUCCAUGAGCAAGACAAAAUGUAAGUUCGAGGGUAGUUAGAGGGGUAGCUGCUCCCAUCCCUGGAAGACUCGAUCCAGAUAACAAGGCGGCCCAACCAAAACAGAAAUGCACGCAUUUUCCUCUUGAGGCCUGAAGUAGAUCAAGCUGGAUGAGGCACCCCUUCCAAAGACAACUUGCACAUCAGAUCAAGGAUGUUCAGAAAAUGCUGGAUCCAAUGGGUUUCUUAGCACGAGAGAGAACUUGAAUGUGCAACAUGUCGUGCACAUGCCCAAGAGGAAGAUCGAGAUUCUGAGCAGGUCAAGACAUUUACUGCUUCCCCUACUUUUAGUAAAAACAGCCACACUUUUCCACUGAGAAGCCACCCCUCCUCCCUCGGCCAAUUGAGCGGCUAAAAUUACAGUCAUUUGCUAUAGAUCAUUUUUUAGAAAGAAUUUCUAAAUAUUUCUGAGUAGUCGGGUUGCAACACUUUCUCGUGUGGAGAGUCUGAAUCACUCACACAAAUACCUUCUUCCUGCUUCCCACGGUGGCCUCUCCAUGGAGAGUCGUCAGUCCAGGAGCACGAGGCCUCUCCUAGGACCCCAGGCCUUGCAGAUCCUGUGGAUGCUGAUCCCAGGGCGGGGGCAGCAUCUUAACCCAUCUGGACAUGACAAAGGAAAACCAAAAUUUUCCAUCCCUAAUGGAUUUUACAGAAGUUAGUGUGCCAAGGGGUGAUCACUCAGAAAGUGAUAGUUGAAUUAUCUCCAUAGAAGAAAAAAAAGUCUUGAUUUGCAUAAAUGUUUCUAGAAUAUGAAGAGGGAAGGCUGCUUAUUCGACCCAGUGUCUCAUGAGCCCAGUCCCACGGGCUGCCCUUGGUUUGCAGAAGCUUCUCGUCCAGAGGAGGUCCUACAUUUCAAGAGUCAGGUCACCUCUAGGACCCUGGGGCAUUUCCAGAACUCCUGGCCAUUCCUGAAGUAUUGGGUCCCUGAACCUCCUCCUCGGCAGAUGAAAGCACCCCAGCCUCCCUUGGCCCUACAGGAAGCUGAGUGAGAAGGGUCUGUCCACCACGGUCUGCAGAGGAGUGCUGAACUCUGGCAAGAAGCAGACUCUGUCCAGUUUCCACAUUUGACCCUGAAUCCACAAGCAGAAAAUGGUUUCCUGAUAAACAAAGUUCUGGUUGCAACAUGGGGGAAUUAGGGUGACUCAGUGAGAUUUCUAAGAGAGCCAAUGAUUGGCCAGCAGCCACCCCUCCGGGGGUCAUUGGGCCCGGCAACCUCAAGCCUCGCAGCCAGGCCUCAUCAGAUAGCCUCUCACCCCAAGCUGUCCCAGGACACGAAUGGCCACGGUCUACCCCCAUGGGCCCUGCCUUCAUUCCUUCAUCUCUGCGCCGAGGAUGAGACCCAUCCCAGGCUUACGGGGCUUGUCUGAGGAAGCCCGUCACCUGUCAAUGGAGCAUGGUGGGGAACGCUUGGGAACACCAUGCCCCCUGGGUUGGCUGGGGUCGGGGCCCCCCUGAAGCAGACUGAUCUGUCCUUGGUUGUUCAACAGGAACCUCUCAUGAAGCAACCUCCAUGAUGACCAAACUAGGCCCCUCCUGUCCCUGCUGUAUCCCCUAAGAACCCAGCACAGUUGAGUGUGUGAAUGGAAGGAUGCACAUCCCCAUCAUGUGUGGCCAACCCAGCUCGGGGUCCAGCACCUUCCAAGACUGUCCUAUCCCCACCAACCUCCUUCUCCCUUCACACCCUCUGCACUUUCCUCCAUCAGCUCACACAAACCCAAACAGGCCCCCGGACCUCAAAAAAACAACCUAGCAUGCCCUGCAUUUUCUGCAUCCAGAAAAUUCUCUGACCUGCAAGCCUCUAUACUUUUUGCUGUUGUUUUGGGGAUGAGAGAAAAACAAGCAAAAAAAUCCUCGAAUCCUCCCAGCGUGGCACUGUGUUUCAAUUCCCCCUUAAAGGACCCAGAAUCAGGUAAAAAUGAUGAAAUAUUUUACAGUAACUUUAACAAAACACAAAGCACGAAUCAGCUU